UCUCAAGGUCACUCGAUCGCCAAG
rnacentral:siRNA from 1 species